rnacentral:lncRNA from 1 species
CAUCUUUUUUGUAAUUUUUUGAAUCAAACAGUAGAUGGAGGCCAUCCAUCCUUCUAAUUUUAUCCAUCUAUUUUCUUAUAAUCCAACCAAAUACAGAGUUAACACGAACCAUUUGCUUUUAAGGUUAAGGUUCACACUUCAGCCAUUGGCCCCUUCUCAUCGAUACAGGAGAAACUAUUAGAUACAAUAUCCUCCCACAUAGAAUAUAGGCAAAGCAAUAAUAACUCCACACAAUAAUAACUCCACACAUCACCUAUUCCAUUUGGUUUCCCAUGCAAUAAGAAACCAUCACAUCAUCAAUUAUUAAAAAAUAUAUAUUGUUAUCAAAAUUUGAUCGAAAUUUUUGAACUGAAAAAAAUUUUGCUAUUAAACCAUGAUUAAUCAUGGUUUAGUAGAGAAAAAA